rnacentral:rRNA from 1 species
AGUGAACGCUGGCGGUAGGCCUAACACAUGCAAGUCGAACGGCAGCACAGUAAUAGCUUGCUCUUACGGGUGGCGAGUGGCGGACGGGUGAUGAAUACAUCGGAAUCUACUUUUUCGUGGGGGAUAACGUAGGGAAACUUACGCUAAUACCGCAUACGACCUACGGGUGAAAGCAUGGGAUCUUCGGACCUUGCGCGAGUGAAUGAGGCCAUGUCGGGUUAGCUAGUUGGCGGGGUAAAGGCCCACCAAGGCGACGAUCCUUAGCUGGUCUGAGAGGAUGAUCAGCCAAACUGGAACUGAGACACGGGCCAGACUCCUACGGGAGGCAGCAGUGGGGAAUAUUGGACAAUGGGCGCAAGCCUGAUCCAGCCAUACCGCGUGGGUGAAGAAGGCCUUCGGGUUGUAAAGCCCUUUUGUUGGGAAAGAAAAGCAGCAGGUUAAUACCCCGCUGUUCUGACGGUACCCAAAGAAUAAGCACCGGCUAACUUCGUG